rnacentral:rRNA from 2 species
AAAUUGAAGAGUUUGAUCAUGGCUCAGAUUGAACGCUGGCGGCAGGCCUAACACAUGCAAGUCGAACGGUAACAGGAAGCAGCUUGCUGCUUUGCUGACGAGUGGCGGACGGGUGAGUAAUGUCUGGGAAACUGCCUGAUGGAGGGGGAUAACUACUGGAAACGGUGGCUAAUACCGCAUAACGUCGCAAGACCAAAGAGGGGGACCUUCGGGCCUCUUGCCAUCAGAUGUGCCCAGAUGGGAUUAGCUGGUUGGUGAGGUAACGGCUCACCAAGGCGACGAUCCCUAGCUGGUCUGAGAGGAUGACCAGCCACACUGGAACUGAGACACGGUCCAGACUCCUACGGGAGGCAGCAGUGGGGAAUAUUGCACAAUGGGCGCAAGCCUGAUGCAGCCAUGCCGCGUGUAUGAAGAAGGCCUUCGGGUUGUAAAGUACUUUCAGCGGGGAGGAAGGUGUUGCGGUUAAUAACC